AGGACGAACGCUGGCGGCGUGCUUAACACAUGCAAGUCGAGCGAGGCCCUCCCUUCGGGGAGGAGCCCUAGCGGCGAACGGGUGAGUAACACGUGGGCAACCUGCCCCUAGCACUGGGAUAACUCCGGGAAACCGGGGCUAAUACCGGAUAUGACCUUGGAAGGCAUCUUCCUUGGUGUAAAGGAUUCUGGCUAGGGAUGGGCCCGCGGCCUAUCAGCUUGUUGGUGGGGUAACGCCUACCAAGGCGACGACGGGUAGCCGGCCUGAGAGGGCGACCAGCCACACUGGGACUGAGACACGGCCCAGACUCCUACGGGAGGCAGCAGUGGGGAAUAUUGCACAAUGGGCGAAAGCCUGAUGCAGCGACGCCGCGUGAGGGAUGACGGCCUUCGGGUUGUAAACCUCUUUCAGCAGGGACGAAGCGAAAGUGACGGUACCUGCAGAAGAAGCACCGGCCAACUACGUGCCAGCAGCCGC
rnacentral:rRNA from 1 species